rnacentral:rRNA from 1 species
ACGAACGCUGGCGGCGUGCCUAAUACAUGCAAGUAGAACGCUGAGGAUUGGUGCUUGCACUAAUCCAAAGAGUUGCGAACGGGUGAGUAACGCGUAGGUAACCUACCUCAUAGCGGGGGAUAACUAUUGGAAACGAUAGCUAAUACCGCAUGAUACUAGAGUACACAUGUACUUAAGUUAAAAGGAGCAAAUGCUUCACUAUGAGAUGGACCUGCGUUGUAUUAGCUAGUUGGUGAGGUAACGGCUCACCAAGGCGACGAUACAUAGCCGACCUGAGAGGGUGAUCGGCCACACUGGGACUGAGACACGGCCCAGACUCCUACGGGAGGCAGCAGUAGGGAAUCUUCGGCAAUGGACGGAAGUCUGACCGAGCAACGCCGCGUGAGUGAAGAAGGUUUUCGGAUCGUAAAGCUCUGUUGUUAGAGAAGAACGGUAAUGGGAGUGGAAAAUCCAUUACGUGACGGUAACUAACCAGAAAGGGACGGCUAACUACGUGC